CAGUCGCCGCGGGAAUACGGAGGGUGCAAGCGUUAAUCGGAAUUACUGGGCGUAAAGCGCACGCAGGCGGUUCGUUAAGUCAGAUGUGAAAUCCCCGAGCUUAACUUGGGAACUGCAUUUGUGACUGGCAAGCUAGAGUGUGGCAGAGGGGGGUGGAAUUCCGCGUGUAGCAGUGAAAUGCGUAGAUAUGCGGAGGAACACCGAUGGCGAGGGCAGCCCCCUGGGCCAACACUGACGCUCACGCACGAAAGCGUGGGGAGCAAACAGGAUUAGAUACCCCGGUAGUCCCUGUCUCUUAAAC
rnacentral:rRNA from 1 species